GCUUCAUUCAAGGCACAUUGAUGUUAGUUAUUUUGCAGCUGGAAUAGUUGCUCACUUAGCCAGCGACGGGCCUUCAGCAUGGACUGUUACAAGUGUUCCACGAGAAGUUAUGCUUAAAGAACUGGGAGACGUUGUAAGCCAUUGGCAACAGCCUGAAGGUGAAAUGGUUGCAUACAGGUCUUUCCAUCCGUUUUUUCCUUUGUUGACAUGUUUACAAAGCUUUGAGGUUCAGCUUUGGGCUGUUUGGGCAAUCCAUCAUGUCUGCUCAAAAAACCGUGAGUUCUUAUAAUAACUUGAUUAUAC